rnacentral:rRNA from 1 species
AGAGUUUGAUCCUGGCUCAGGAUGAACGCUAGCUACAGGCUUAACACAUGCAAGUCGAGGGGAAACGAUAGAGAAAGCUUGCUUUUUCUAGGCGUCGACCGGCGCACGGGUGAGUAACGCGUAUCCAACCUGCCCAUCACUUGGGGAUAACCUUGCGAAAGUAAGACUAAUACCCAAUGAUAUCUCUAGAAGACAUCUGAAGGAGAUUAAAGAUUUAUCGGUGAUGGAUGGGGAUGCGUCUGAUUAGCUUGUUGGCGGGGUAACGGCCCACCAAGGCGACGAUCAGUAGGGGUUCUGAGAGGAAGGUCCCCCACAUUGGAACUGAGACACGGUCCAAACUCCUACGGGAGGCAGCAGUGAGGAAUAUUGGUCAAUGGGCGAGAGCCUGAACCAGCCAAGUAGCGUGCAGGAUGACGGCCCUAUGGGUUGUAAACUGCUUUUAUAAGGGAAUAAAGUGAGUCUCGUGAGACUUUUUGCAUGUACCUUAUGAAUAAGGACCGGCUAAUUCCGUGCCAGCAGCCGCGGUAAUACGGAAGGUCCGGGCGUUAUCCGGAUUUAUUGGGUUUAAAGGGAGCGUAGGCCGGAGAUUAAGCGUGUUGUGAAAUGUAGACGCUCAACGUCUGCACUGCAGCGCGAACUGGUUUCCUUGAGUACGCACAAAGUGGGCGGAAUUCGUGGCGUAGCGGUGAAAUGCUUAGAUAUCACGAAGAACCCCGAUUGCGAAGGCAGCUUGCCGGAGUGUAACUGACGCUGAAGCUCGAAAGCGCGGGUAUCGAACAGGAUUAGAUACCCUGGUAGUCCGCGCGGUAAACGAUGGA